ensembl:lncRNA
GUUGCACCUGAAGAUAGAAAGGUGUAAAACGAAAUAAAACAAAACAAAAAAGACUUUUUGCAAAUGCCCAUCUCUUUCCCAUAGAAGUACAUGAAAAUAUGUAUGUUUGUUUGAGGAAAGAACAAAAGCCUUUAAAGCUUGGUGGAAGAUGGGUGCAAUUUUCAAUGAGCUCUUCUUUUAGUGGCAGCUGUGCUUUAGCUCUACCUCAUAGAAGUGAUGACGUAUUUACAACCAGCCUCAGUGAGUAUCAAGACACGUUAGUUUCAAUUGGUUUUAAAACCUCUUUAUUUGUAUGUUACAAGAAAGGAAAUGAGAUUUAAAAAAAAAAAAAAAAAAAAAAGGGCUUCAUUUUUCCUUCCAAACAAAGAGAUCCACUAUUUUAAGCAUAGUUUUACUUACAAACCCAUUGGAAAACAUCCAGAAACUAUCACGCAGACCAGGCAAUAAGCCUCUGCUUGGGAUUCAGGAACUAAUGAAGAAUCCCAUGAGAGACUGUUCUGAAAAGGCAGCAAACCUUUCUGUAGGGAAGCCAGUGGCGUUCAGGUGGCAUGCGGGUGUCUGGUUACCUCAAGCCCAACAGUUCCUCAGUUUUAACUGCUAGAGAGUAGCAUCGUGGGAUGGCAUCUCUCUCUCUACCUUUGUCUGCAGUGAAGACCAAUGUCCCAAAAUCAUUCAGCUUCUUUAAAAGAUGUGUCUUUCGAGGCUACUGCUUUUCUGCCCAGACCACUUGGCAGACCCAAUGGUUCUCAAAAAAGGCUUCUCUGAUGCAUGUUUUCUGGUUAUCUGCUCUUACCUCUUCAGCUGUUAUGUCUUGCAGAAUUCAAAGGGGAAGGUGGCUGACAUUUUACCUUCUGUAGUUGAUUUUAUUUUCUCUCAGCUUUGCUCAGCUUGGAUUCCUCUUUUCUAAAAAGACAAAAACAACACAAAAGAUGAGCUUCAGUAAGGUAUUGGACUUUGUCAGUCUAUUAUGCUGUUUUUUCUUCCUUGCUUUGCUGCCUAUUGCUGCAAGUGCCUCCUCUAUCUUAUAUUCAGAUCAGAUCACUUGGAGCCUUUCUGGUGAACCCAUAGAUCUUCAUUUCUUCACUUACACUAAAGCUUUUCUGAAUUACUGUCUUUAUUCUGGAGGAUUUUACUUCCAAGCCACGCUGUCAUACUGAUGGAUUUCAGUAUGAUUUCUGUUCCUCCCCCCUCACCACACUUUCCUCAGAUACUGAAUGCUUAUGCCGUAUUCUUCAAAAAAAUCUUAUUUAGUAAAACUUUCAGUAAUGAGUAGCAUGAUGUGAAAGUAGCUUUGCUGCCAUACCAGCACCAGUAUUAUGCAGCUGCAAUGUUUCUAUCCUCUGGGUUAGACCAGUGCCCUGCAUUUUGAACUCUGUUCAGUCAAAAAACACUGCACGUUGCCCAUACACUCCAAAGAGUGGGAGUAUUUGGGGCUGAUACGGCGCUUUCCUCCUCUGCAAAUAGAGCUGUGCUUACAUUUGUGUUUGGCAGCGCAGAUCAGCAUUAUCAAGUCAUGUCUCAUUAGCAAGGUAAAGUAGUGGACAAUGUCGUUUUGCUAUUUUACAGCCUUCUGCCUCACUGCUACAAGCUCAUUUCCUGACUUGGGCCCAUAUAACCCCAUUCCUAACAUAGUCGUCCUGACGUACACCUAACAGAGAGACAUUAAGGUCUUGGGCACGCUUGACCUGCUUCACAGCUCUCCUCACAUCACCAUACAGGUGUGUACUACUUCUGCCUGGCCCUAACAGCCCUUGUGCAAUGGUAACAAUUCAGCCAAGUUAGUUCAAAAAAAAUGAAAAAAAAAAUUAUUCAACUUGCCCUGCUGCAUGGUUCAGCACAUCCCUGCAGAAAGUCAGUAUAUUUUGUGCCAAAGUAUAUGUUCAAAAACUGCUCUCCAUUCACAUCAAGAGGAAUUCCCUUCUCAACACCACACCAGCAGAAAAGUAAGGUUCUCUCUCCAUGGAAUAUGCUGCAGUGCUCCAAGCCCGGUCCAACACGUCUUCAGCUUGUUUCAGGAAAGCACAGCUAUCUGUUGGACAGAAGAACUGCAGUUACAGUUGGGAAGUAUGCUAGAGCAAGGCAGAAGGCAAACUAGCUCCUGGGAGGCAACGCUGUACAAAGUGUCAGCAGGAGGGGCAGAGGGAAAUAAAUCAAGAUGGGAAGCCUGAGGAAUGGGAGGUAACAGGACACAGUGAAGAAUGAGAGAAGCAUGGAGAGCUCAAACGCUCUUGGUCAGAUACACCUGGGUGUGAAUUGUUUGGGUGGGAGGGUCAAAUAAGCCCACAUUUAUGAGAGAUGAGGCGUCAACCAACAAUGCUACCACAAGGAUUGCACAAUUCCUGACCUGCAGUUCUCUGUGCUGCUGGCUGCGGAUCACUUGCAGCCACCCUGCAGCAGCAAGACAGCUCCCGGGCCCUCCAGCCUUCUCCCAGUCAGGACCUGUCACUAGGUGAUUUGCAUCUGUGGAAUGCUCUGGAGGUGCCCACACCAAGGCCUGCUUCUCCACAUUGCCCACAUGGAAAAUAUCCACCUUGGGAUGUCUGCUCUUGAUUUUCCUGUCUCCUCCUCUGCUUGCUCAGAUGCUGUACUCUAAUGGUUUUGGAGUGAUUUCACUGUGGGACACCCACAGUGUUCUUAUAUGGAUCAGUGCCUCCCUUCAGGAGGGGCCUGCUGGAGCAUUCUUCUAACCCUGUAGCCCUUGAUGGCCUUUCUGCAUAGUCUCCUGCUGCAGUUUCCACUGGGGAGAGGAAAUUGCCUGCCCUAUCAUAUGUGCUGUACCUAUGCAGUAUGGAGUGGCCUCUCUACCUUGUGCAGAUGGUUGUGCCAUCCUUUUUGCUAACCUGUCAUCGCCCUGAUCCAGGGCUGCCUCUAUGCCUGCCACCUGUGCCCUCUGACCUCAGACUUCUCCCUUCAGGAGAGCAACUGGAGUGGCCCCUGACCCGUUCCUACAAUGUCUUGCUUCUGCAAUGCUCUACACAGCAUUCAGGGCACAGCCACGACCUCCCAGACAAAUGCAGUUGGACUGCAUCAGCUGAGAGGAUGACAGAAGCAGGACGCACAGCAUCUCCUUGUGGGAACAGGAGCAGUGCUACUUUCACAUAGGUUUUACUUAGAGUAAAGGCUCCUCUGAUGUUUCGUGGCCAUCAAAGGCUCUGAAAUUCACAGGAAUCUCAAGGAAGGCAGAAGUUCAUCUGAAGUGAGAAAGAUUAUAUUUUCCAUCCCACUGUAAUUCCAGCUUCCCAAGAAUUUUCCUUUGAAGGCUUCACUGCUCCCAGAUAUUCCUCAAGUUAUUUCCAAUACAGGAUUGUCACUGCAGAGAACAAGCAGACAGCACAGGUUUGGGAAGAAAAGCAUGGGGCUGUUGGUGAGCACUGGCUUCCACAAAACAACAAAACAUCUCACUAAGUAGGAGCACAGUUAGAGACAAGUAUAUUAAAUGUCUGAUUUUGGAGAGGAGUUUCCGAGGGGUGAGUUUGACAGAGCAGCACCUUACUGCCUUGUUGCUGACUGGAGGAAGAAUGCAGAUUUGUGCUAAGAGAGAAAUUCCACAUUUUCCAUCCUUUUUCUGAAGUCUGGGAAAGGAAGUGUCAGCCCCGCAGGGAGGAGAGGGGUGCCAUGGCAAGGCAUCUUGUUUUGCAGCCUUUGGGAAGUGGACUCCACAAAUCGCUCUGCUCUGAUGCCUGGCCACCAGGGAGUAGAUAAGCAUGGGGCAGCCUGCGGAAAGUAUGAGAUGAAACUGUUCUUUUCCCUCUGAUAAGCCGGAGCUGGUGGUGAACCUAUUACUCAGAUUAUGGUGGAUCUGAAUUUGUUUUCCCUUGAGCAGCAGCAACAGAGACAGAUUGGUUGGAUUAGGUUUCACUUUUUAUGUAAAAUGACUUAACUGGGUAGAUAAAACUUAAUAUAUUUGUGAAGCCUCAUGUGUUUCCCUGAGACUUGAUCCCAAUAAUGUCUUAUGAAUGCCUUGCAGAUUGUUUAAUGAGCUAUUUUUCUCCCUCUCAGACUGCUAAUAAUAAAUUAUAAAUAUAAG